GAUGAAGAACGUAGCGAAAUGCGAUAAGUAGUGUGAAUUGCAGAAUUCAGUGAAUCAUCGAAUCUUUGAACGCACAUUGCGCCCUUUGGUAUUCCUUAGGGCAUGCCUGUUCGAGCGUCAUUUGAACCCUCAAGCUCAGCUUGGUGUUGGGUGUCUGUCCCCGCCUCCGCGGGGACUCGCCUCAAAAUCAUUGGCGGCCGGUACGUUGGCUUCGAGCGCAGCAGAAACGCGAACUCGAGGCCCGGCGGAUCGGCGACCAGUACUCUCUUCUUCACAGUUUGACUUCGGAUCAGGUAGGGAUACCCGCUGAACUUAAGCAUAUCAAUAAGCGGAGGA
rnacentral:misc_RNA from 1 species